GGGAAUGUGGCUUAGUGGUAGAGUGCUUGCCUUGCAUUCAUGAGGACCUGGGUUCGAUUCCUCAGUACCA
rnacentral:tRNA from 1 species